CCCAGGUUGUUUACAGGCUGUGCUCCCGCCUGGUUCUUUGUAAGAUACUCGCCCUAACCUCCUCAAUGCUUUGAAUUUGAUGUUGUAUGCAUUACUAUGCUACCAUUCACACCGACUGAUACAGUGAACCAUUCCCACCGACUGAUACAUCACUGUAUAAUGCAUUACAGACUUGGUACACAUAAGCACCUUCACCAUCAUACUGUUCACUUGAGACUCUUAUUGCUGCAUGUAACUUUUCUUUACAGACUCAAAGGAAAACCGACGUCCUUGCCGAAGUGCGACAUCCUGCCCCGACAUAGAAGCCGUUAGAAGGACUGGAGAUGGCUUCAGACGUUUAGCUGAAAGUUGUGUGCAGUCAGCGUCGUUGAUGAAAAUUAGUGGGGAUACACAGGGACAAAAAAAAACAGCAUGAAGGUUGGCCUCGGCAAGGCACAAGCAGUAAGAACAGCACAUCCACUAACUCGGCAGCACCAUCAUCAAACUUGUGCAACCGUGUGCAGUCAAGGAGCA